rnacentral:rRNA from 1 species
AGUCGAACGAAGUAGCAAUACUUAGUGGCAGACGGGUGAGUAACAUGUAGGUAUCUGCCCUUUGGCCUGGAAUAACACGAGGAAACUUGUGCUAAUACCGGAUAAGUCUUUACGGAGAAAGCUUUAUGCACCAUUGGAUGAGCCUGCACUUGAUUAGUUUGUUGGUGGGGUAAUGGCCUACCAAGACUGUGAUCAAUAGCUGAUUUGAGAGGAUGAUCAGCCACAUUGGGACUGAGACACGGCCCAAACUCCUACGGGAGGCAGCAGUGGGGAAUCUUGCACAAUGGAGGAAACUCUGAUGCAGCGAUGCCGCGUGAGUGAAGAAGGCCCUUGGGUUGUAAAGCUCUUUCGUCGGGGAAGAAAAUGACUGUACCCGAAUAAGAAGGUCCGGCUAACUUCGUGCCAGCAGCCGCGGUAAUACGAAGGGACCUAGCGUAGUUCGGAAUUACUGGGCUUAAAGAGUUCGUAGGUGGUUGAAAAAGUUAGUGGUGAAAUCCCAGAGCUUAACUCUGGAACUGCCAUUAAAACUUUUCAGCUAGAGUAUGAUAGAGGAAAGCAGAAUUUCUAGUGUAGAGGUGAAAUUCGUAGAUAUUAGAAAGAAUACCAAUUGCGAAGGCAGCUUUCUGGAUCAUUACUGACACUGAGGAACGAAAGCAUGGGUAGCGAAGAGGAUUAGAUACCCUCGUAGUCCAUGCCGUAAACGAUGUGUGUUAGACGUUGGAAAUUUAUUUUCAGUGUCGCAGGGAAACCGAUAAACACACCGCCUGGGGAGUACGACCGCAAGGUUAAAACUCAAAUGAAUUGACGGGGACCCGCACAAGUAGUGGAGCAUGUGGUUUAAUUCGAAGAUACGCGCAGAACCUUACCAACACUUGACAUGUUCGUCGCGACUCUAAGAGAUUAGAGUUUUCGGUUCGGCCGGACGAAACACAGGUGCUGCAUGGCUGUCGUCAGCUCGUGUCGUGAGAUGUUGGGUUAAGUCCCGCAACGAGCGCAACCCUCACUUUUAGUUGCCAUCAUUAAGUUGGGCACUCUGAAAGAACUGCCAGUGAUAAGCUGGAGGAAGGUGGGGAUGACGUCAAGUCCUCAUGGCCCUUACGUGUUGGGCUACACACGUGCUACAAUGGUAUCUACAACAGGAAGCAAGACUGCGAAGUUAAGCAAAUCCCUAAAAGAUACCUCAGUUCGGAUUGCACUCUGCAACUCGAGUGCAUGAAGCUGGAAUUACUAGUAAUCGUGGAUCAGCGUGCCACGGUGAAUGCGUUCCCGGGUCUUGUACACACCGCCCGUCACACCAUGGGAGUUGGUUCUACCUUAAGGCAAGGUUUUAA